rnacentral:rRNA from 1 species
UAGAGUUUGAUCCUGGCUCAGAUUGAACGCUGGCGGCAGGCUUAACACAUGCAAGUCGAGCGGAGAGAGGUAGCUUGCUACCGAUCUUAGCGGCGGACGGGUGAGUAAUGCUUAGGAAUCUGCCUAUUAGUGGGGGACAACAUUUCGAAAGGAAUGCUAAUACCGCAUACGUCCUACGGGAGAAAGCAGGGGAUCUUCGGACCUUGCGCUAAUAGAUGAGCCUAAGUCGGAUUAGCUAGUUGGUGGGGUAAAGGCCUACCAAGGCGACGAUCUGUAGCGGGUCUGAGAGGAUGAUCCGCCACACUGGGACUGAGACACGGCCCAGACUCCUACGGGAGGCAGCAGUGGGGAAUAUUGGACAAUGGGCGCAAGCCUGAUCCAGCCAUGCCGCGUGUGUGAAGAAGGCCUUAUGGUUGUAAAGCACUUUAAGCGAGGAGGAGGCUACUUUAGUUAAUACCUAGAGAUAGUGGACGUUACUCGCAGAAUAAGCACCGGCUAACUCUGUGCCAGCAGCCGCGGUAAUACAGAGGGUGCAAGCGUUAAUCGGAUUUACUGGGCGUAAAGCGCGCGUAGGCGGCUAAUUAAGUCAAAUGUGAAAUCCCCGAGCUUAACUUGGGAAUUGCAUUCGAUACUGGUUAGCUAGAGUGUGGGAGAGGAUGGUAGAAUUCCAGGUGUAGCGGUGAAAUGCGUAGAGAUCUGGAGGAAUACCGAUGGCGAAGGCAGCCAUCUGGCCUAACACUGACGCUGAGGUGCGAAAGCAUGGGGAGCAAACAGGAUUAGAUACCCUGGUAGUCCAUGCCGUAAACGAUGUCUACUAGCCGUUGGGGCCUUUGAGGCUUUAGUGGCGCAGCUAACGCGAUAAGUAGACCGCCUGGGGAGUACGGUCGCAAGACUAAAACUCAAAUGAAUUGACGGGGGCCCGCACAAGCGGUGGAGCAUGUGGUUUAAUUCGAUGCAACGCGAAGAACCUUACCUGGCCUUGACAUAGUAAGAACUUUCCAGAGAUGGAUUGGUGCCUUCGGGAACUUACAUACAGGUGCUGCAUGGCUGUCGUCAGCUCGUGUCGUGAGAUGUUGGGUUAAGUCCCGCAACGAGCGCAACCCUUUUCCUUAUUUGCCAGCGAGUAAUGUCGGGAACUUUAAGGAUACUGCCAGUGACAAACUGGAGGAAGGCGGGGACGACGUCAAGUCAUCAUGGCCCUUACGGCCAGGGCUACACACGUGCUACAAUGGUCGGUACAAAGGGUUGCUACCUAGCGAUAGGAUGCUAAUCUCAAAAAGCCGA